rnacentral:rRNA from 1 species
CCUACGGGAGGCAGCAGUGGGGAAUCUUGGACAAUGGGCGCAAGCCUGAUCCAGCCAUGCCGCGUGAGUGACGAAGGCCCUAGGGUCGUAAAGCUCUUUCAGCUGUGAAGAUAAUGACGGUAGCAGCAGAAGAAACCCCGGCUAACUCCGUGCCAGCAGCCGCGGUAAUACGGAGGGGGUUAGCGUUGUUCGGAAUUACUGGGCGUAAAGCGUACGUAGGCGGACUAUUAAGUUAGAGGUGAAAUCCCAGGGCUCAACCCUGGAACUGCCUUUAAUACUGGUAGUCUUGAGUUCGAGAGAGGUGAGUGGAAUUCCGAGUGUAGAGGUGAAAUUCGUAGAUAUUCGGAGGAACACCAGUGGCGAAGGCGGCUCACUGGCUCGAUACUGACGCUGAGGUACGAAAGUGUGGGGAGCAAACAGGAUUAGAUACCCUAGUAGUC